CGAACAAAACACACGAUUUGUAAAUUUGUAAAAAUAAUAAAAAAAUAUUUUGUAUUUGUAAGCCAGUUUAUAGCCAAAAACUUAUACUCAUAUUAAACACAACUGAAUUUGUGUGCAGGAACUCCAACUCAGGAAGUAACACUUCCUACUGUUCUUUCGGUCGUGAAGCUUAAACAUUAGACACCCUUUCAAAUCGCGAACGCUUCAAGAAUUCCAGACACAUGCUCUAGUUAAUACGUCACGAUUUAUUGAUUAAAGGAAGGAGUACAAAGGUUGUGUGCCAACUUCCAUAUAUCCAAAAAGUGCUCGGCCUGUGGUCUGUUUGGGGAGGCAACAAGCACUAGUCCAUUUUCUUUAUCAUCGCACUUAAAUAGGAUUCAAGUUUCUUCAGUUCAGCUCAUUAACUAUUAAACAGGGUGUUCAAUAGUCAUUGAGUUGAUUCAAGUAUUCUUCUUGGCAGAAGUCAUCAGAUCUGGAAUAUUCCCGGACACUUCAACAAUCCAAUGAAGCUUAUCUGAGCGGAGGACAUUUAUCAAUUCGAUUUUCUCAAGGUUCUUCAUGCCUAACAACAAUGAUUGCAUGUACUGAAUUGAAAAGAAAAUAUUUAUACAAGAAUAAUCUUGCAGACGACAAUUUUAUCGAUACUGGAGCGAGAAACAUAUAAGAAUAGCAUAAAAGAUGUUGUUCCUCGAUUUACAAACGACUGGAUCAGCAUGGAUCGAUUCAAUGCCCCUUUCGUAAUGCCGCUCUUCAAAUCUCUCUUCAAUAAUCCCAUUAACGUUUCUGUAUCUUCGAUAAUGGCAACUGCUGUGAGCGUUAUGCUCUUCUACUAAAUAGCAACUUUAUAUUGCAAAAUAAAUCAUUCUUCCAAAUGUAAACUAUGCAAUAAAUAUUCUAAUGGAGUUCUAA